UACGGAGGGAGCUAGCGUUAUUCGGAAUUACUGGGCGUAAAGCGCACGUAGGCGGCUUUGUAAGUUAGAGGUGAAAGCCUGGAGCUCAACUCCAGAAUUGCCUUUAAGACUGCAUCGCUUGAAUCCAGGAGAGGUGAGUGGAAUUCCGAGUGUAGAGGUGAAAAUUCGUAGAUAUUCGGAAGGAACACCCAGUGGCGAAGGCGGCUCACUGGUCCGGUACUGACGCUGAGGUGCGAAAGCAUGGGGAGCGAACGGG
rnacentral:rRNA from 1 species